UCACCUUCAACUAGCAGGGACGAGAGCCACAUGGUUGCAUUGGAGAGUCUUAAGUGUAACCUGGGUUCUUGCCUAUUUCAGCCAGUGCCCUACAUGGGCAACAGCUGGUGUCUUACUAUUGAGGCCAAAAAUUACUUGGCUGGUAAAAGGCAGAGAUGCUUGUAACCACGAGGAAUGCAGGCAAAGAUAAGGUGUGAGAUAAGAUCUCACAAGCUGCUUUCUGCCACGUUGUGGGUCUCCCACUUGGCAGCCCAAGACCUACUGGGCUGCAACUACUCUGACCCCCCAGCUAGCACACAAGAACUCAACAGUUGGACAGGGGGUGCUAAGUGUAACCUGGAUUCUUGUCUAUUUCAGCCAGUGCCCUACAGGGGCGACAUUCCCGGAGGUCUGGAAACCAACAGGACCAUCACAGUGCAAGGCAUUAUUCCGAAGAAUGCUACCAGGUUUGAAAUCAAUUUUACGGCUGGCCAAGAUAUCCCUUUGCAUAUUAACCUUCACAUGUAACUGUGGAGAGCCGUAGUACCCAAUAGUUUUUUGAAUGGCAACUGGGGAAGGAACGCAAAUUGACCUUUAACCCUUUCCAGCCUGGGCAGUACUUUAAACUCUCAAUCCACUGUGACAACCGUGAAUUCAAGUUUUAUGCCAACGACCAGCCCUUCUUCAACUACACCCAUCGUUAUGUCCCUAUCAAAAACAUCAGCACCCUAGAGAUCGAUGGAGACGUGACCCUUUCCUACAUUAAAUACUAAGCAAUUGGGGGGGGGGGAGAGAUCAGUAGCAGCUCUCUCUCUGCCAGUACACUUACAAUCCUGCUGAAUUUGAGUGGUCUACAAGUUCCAAUCAAUCAAUCAGACACUCAAGAAUAAUUGAGAAUAUUAAGCAACAUUUUCAAUAAAGCAUUUG